rnacentral:rRNA from 1 species
UACAGAGGGUGCAAGCGUUAAUCGGAAUUACUGGGCGUAAAGCGUGCGUAGACGGUUAUGUAAGUCAGAUGUGAAAGCCCCGGGCUCAACCUGGGAAUUGCAUUUGAGACUGCAUAGCUAGGGUGCGGAAGAGGGAAGCGGAAUUUCCGGUGUAGCGGUGAAAUGCGUAGAUAUCGGAAGGAACACCCAGGGGGAAACCAGUCGACUGGGCAGCACCUGACGCUGAGGUGCGAGAGCGUGGGGAGCGAACCGG